CUGGAAAGUUCUCCAACACCGGGGCUUUCCCCGAUGUGUUCUACCUAUGUAGUGGACUUACCGGCAAAUGCAGUCCGCGUCUGGAAUUGCAAUCCAAUCACCGACUUGUUGUCAACUCGUCCAGAAAGGGAGGCAUUCAUUUGCUGGAGGCAUCACUUUCAAUGAAUUUCAAGUUUCGUGAAUUGAAGCGAAAGGAUUUGUUGACCAAAGAAACAAAAACGAACCUAACCCGGACUUUAGUAACAGGCUGGUCGAGUGAGUGUUGUCUCUCCUAAUUCUCACGAGCGAAUACUGACCGUUUACAUCAUUUUCGAUCAUUUUUUCUUAUCCGGAAUACAACACCACCAUCAGGCUGAAUGACGUCGCCCUCCUUAAGUUGACAACGGAAAUUCAGUUUGAUUCUCGUGAUGUCGACUACUCGACUUCAUCCCAUACGGCGAAGAACUAUAUAACCAACAAUAAGAUCAGGCUGUUCAUGGCGUGGGGCGCAACUUUUGUAUUACGGAUGCACCCAACAUUUCCCAAACACAUAACGUCCUAGUCUACCUGUAUCUGUCUACAUUAUAACGGCUUGAAACAGGAAGGAGAUUAUGAGUCCGUUAAUCUUCAAUAUGGAUACUCCUCUAUCUUCCCGCCGACUACUGACGCAACAUGCGGAGAUUACUCCGGCGCGUUAUUUGAUUUUAGAACCAUGUUUUAUUGUUUCAUCACAUUAGCUGCACGUGAGAUUAAUCUGUUGAGAUCGUAUA